AGUGAACGCUGGCGGUAGGCCUAACACAUGCAAGUCGAACGGCAGCACAGUAAGAGCUUGCUCUUACGGGUGGCGGGUGGCGGACGGGUGAGGAAUACAUCGGAAUCUACUUUUUCGUGGGGGAUAACGUAGGGAAACUUACGCUAAUACCGCAUACGACCUACGGGUGAAAGCAGGGGAUCUUCGGACCUUGCGCGGUUGAAUGAGCCGAUGUCGGAUUAGCUAGUUGGCGGGGUAAAGGCCCACCAAGGCGACGAUCCGUAGCUGGUCUGAGAGGAUGAUCAGCCACACUGGAACUGAGACACGGUCCAGACUCCUACGGGAGGCAGCAGUGGGGAAUAUUGGACAAUGGGCGCAAGCCUGAUCCAGCCAUACCGCGUGGGUGAAGAAGGCCUUCGGGUUGUAAAGCCCUUUUGUUGGGAAAGAAAAGCAGCAGGUUAAUACCCCGCUGUUCUGACGGUACCCAAAGAAUAAGCACCGGCUAACUUCGUG
rnacentral:rRNA from 1 species